AUCCAGAUGAGGAGGCCAAAAUAGGAUGAAAUGUGCAUCCUGGAU
rnacentral:hammerhead_ribozyme from 1 species